AGCGAACGCUGGCGGCAGGCUUAACACAUGCAAGUCGAGCGGGCACUUUCGGGUGUCAGCGGCGGACGGGUGAGUAACGCGUGGGAACGUGCCCUCUGGUUCGGAAUAACUCAGGGAAACUUGAGCUAAUACCGGAUACGCCCCUUUGGGGAAAGGCUUGCUGCCGGAGGAUCGGCCCGCGUCUGAUUCGCUAGGUGGUGAGGUAACGGCGCACCAAGGCGACGAGCAGUAGCUGGUCUGAGAGGAUGAUCAGCCACACCGGGACUGAGACACGGCCCAGACUACUACGGGAGGCAGCAGUGGGGAAUAUUGGACAAUGGGCGCAAGCCUGAUCCAGCCAUGCCGCGUGAGUGAUGAAGGCCUUAGGGUUGUAAAGCUCUUUUAUCCGGGACGAUAAUGACGGUACCGGAGGAAUAAGCCCCGGCUAACUUCGUG
rnacentral:rRNA from 1 species